UACGUAGGUGGCAAGCGUUGUCCGGAUUUAUUGGGUUUAAAGGGUGCGUAGGUGGAAUGGUAAGUCAGUGGUGAAAUCUCCAAGCUUAACUUGGAAACUGCCGUUGAUACUAUCAUUCUUGAAUAUCGUGGAGGUAAGCGGAAUAUGUCAUGUAGCGGUGAAAUGCUUAGAUAUGACAUAGAACACCGAUUGCGAAGGCAGCUUGCUACACGAUCAUUGACACUGAGGCACGAAAGCGUGGGGAUCAAACAGG
rnacentral:rRNA from 1 species